CCUACGGGAGGCAGCAGCAGGGAAUAUUGCGCAAUGGGCGAAAGCCUGACGCAGUAACGCCGCGUGGGGGAUGAAGGCCUUCGGGUUGUAAACCCCUUUCAGCAGGGACGAAAUUGACGGUACCUGCAGAAGAAGCACCGGCCAACUACGUGCCAGCAGCCGCGGUAACACGUAGGGUGCGAGCGUUGUCCGGAUUCAUUGGGCGUAAAGGGCUAGUAGGCGGCUUAGCAAGUCGGGUGUGAAAACUUCAGGCUCAACCUGGAGCGGCCAUCCGAUACUGCUAUGGCUAGAGUCCGGUAGGGGACCACGGAAUUCCUGGUGUAGCGGUGAAAUGCGCAGAUAUCAGGAGGAACACCGAUGGCGAAGGCAGUGGUCUGGGCCGGAACUGACGCUGAAUAGCGAAAGCGUGGGUAGCGAACAGGAUUAGAUACCCUUGUAGU
rnacentral:rRNA from 1 species